rnacentral:tRNA from 1 species
GGAUAUAGCUCAGUUGGUAGAGUGCUUGCCUUGCAUGCACAAGGCCUUGGGUUUGAUCCCCAGUACCA